rnacentral:lncRNA from 1 species
CUGACACUAUUGUUUGCAAGACGAUUUGAGAUAACCAAGUGCCCAUCACAAAAUGUAAGUACUAUCUAGAUAGGUUCCUUGGCAGUGAGAAUGACCAAUCAAUUCUUUCAUAUGUAUUUAUUGAUCCAUUUAACGAAAUGCAUCAGACCACCACACCGUGCCAGAGACCACAUUAAACAGGGAGGUGUUUCGUGAACUGUCCUUGCUCUUAUGGGGCUGACAUUCUGCUGAGGGUCAGUCUUCAUGGUUUACUUCUCAAUUGCACAAGAGUCCAUAAUCUAGCAAAUAAAACAAGCAAACUUUACAAAUGAAUAGAAUUAGAUUUUUUUUUCACCACAGAUGCUACUGGUCAGCUAUAU